UUGUCAUGGAAUUGGCUUUGCCAAUUACGUAUAACCUGAUCAGUGAGAUAGCAUGUGCCUUUAACUGUGAGCCUGUGCUGGAAGCGUUCUCGGUCUUCAACAUCAACAAAGUACCUGAUUCAAUGAAUGCGAUGCAAGGCUAUGGAAAGAAUGCUGUUGAUGUCUUAGCCAAACAUUAUGGAAACACCAAGAUUUUUGAGUUUGAGAGGCACAGGACUGAAGCGUUCCCAACAUUCAGUGAAUCAACAAUCAGGGAACAAUUUCAGCAAUUUCUUCCACAGUUGUGUUUGUUGAAUUUCUUUGACACAGGGAUUCAGCUGGACAAGCUGCUUGAUUGAAAGCUGAUGCAGGGCAUGUCCAUUUUCUACAAUUUCUACAGCAAAGAGGGGAGCUGUGCCUGACAGAUCUAUUCUACAGACCAGAGAUACAGAAUUCCUUCCCCGCUGUCAACUAUAUGUUUACCCUAAGCCGACUGAUCCCAUCGUCUACUGCCAGUGUUGAAAGGCUCUUCAGCCUCAUGAACAGUCUCUGCACGCCAUCCAGGAACA